AGAGAGAGGUUCAGCAGCUACGGCUCGUCAUUGAUGACAUUAGAGAGCAGCUGGAGAGGCAAAGGGAGGAGGAGCAGAGGCAGAGAGAGGAGGAGAGGCGAUGGGAGGAGCAGGAGAGGAUGAUCGAGGAUAUGCGGGUGGAGCAUGAGCGACGGAUGCAGGAGAUGUUUCAGGCUCUCGCUGCACGCUUUGCCACCGAUGCCCCACCACCUCCGCCUUCAUGUUCGUGAUUUUUUUU